GGCAGGCCUGGAAGCCUGACUAACCAGCUCCUCCAGGGUCAAGGUGUUGGGGGAGGGGGUGCAGCAGGAGGUGGCCAGAUCGCCCUGGGCUGUGGAUGCGGAAGAAGCCCCGGCUUGGGCAGCCAUCAUGGGGCUCUCCCAGAGGCAGCUUGGCCCAUUGCUGUCUCUCCUCCUCAUGGGGGCGCUGGUCUGGCCCCCGCCCUGUAUGAGCCUGGAGCUGAUCCCCUACACGCCGCAGAUAACAGCCUGGGACCUGGAAGGGAAGGUCACAGCCACCACGUUCUCCCUGGAGCAGCCACGCUGUGUCCUGGAUGGGCAUGCCGCUGUUGCCAACACCAUCUGGCUGGUGGUGGCCUUCAGCAACGCCUCCAGGGACUUCCGGAACCCACAGACGCUGGCUGAGAUCCCAGCCUUCCCACGGCUGCUGACCGAUGGCCACUAUAUGACGCUGCCCCUGUCCCUGGACCAGCUGCCCUGUGAGGACCCCGUGGGGGGCGGCAGGGGCAUCCCCCUGCUUCGGGUGGGCAAUGACCCUGGCUGCCUUGCUGACCUCCGUGAGCCACCCUUCUGCAACACCCCCCUCCCCAGCCCUGGACCUUACAGGGUGAAGUUCCUCCUGAUGGACGCCAGCGGCUCACCCCAGGCCGAGACCAGGUGGUCCGAUCCCAUUACUCUCCACCAAGGGAAGGCCCCAGGCUCUAUCGACACGUGGCCAGGGCGGCGAAGCGGUGACAUGAUUGUCAUCGCCUCCAUCCUCUCCUCUCUGGCCGGCCUCCUGCUCCUGGCCUUCCUGGCUGCGUCCACCGUGCGCUUCUCCAGCCUGUGGUGGCCGGAGGAAGUCCCGGAGCAGCUGCGGAUUGGCUCCUUCAAGGGGAAGCGCUACAUGACCCACCACAUCCCACCCACUGAGGCCGCCACCCUGCCCGUGGGCUAUGAGCCUGGCCUGGACCCCCUCCCCAGCCUCAGCCCCUAGCCUGGUGGAAGGGGCUGGGGCGGGGCCCUGGGAAGUUGGGGGCCACAUAUGCAGUGCGCAUUCCCAGCUCCUGCGCCCACAUGCCCCUCCCCCAUUGCGCCUCCCUACCCGCCCAAUGUCCCACCACCUGCAGCCCUGCCUUUGCCUUUUCCAUUCUGCCCUCUCUAGGCAACUGAAGUUGCAUCAAGUCUGGGGGGAGGGUCAUGGUCAGGCCAGCAUGCAGCCCCCACUUCCAACCCUACCUCUGUGAGAGGUAAUGUGGAGAGGCCACACUGACCAGAAGCUCCCAGGCUCCAGGAGGGGCCCAGUGGGGGGCUUUGCUCUGCCCUGUGCAGGGGACUGGGCCAGGCCCAUCACCGGGUGCAUGAAGUCCGAGCCUCCCUCUGUCUCUCUGUCCCACCUUCCAGUGGCUGGGGCUGCAGUGAAGCCUUCAGAGGCACCUCCAUUGUUCCCCGGGCAGGGGUACUUUCUGAGGGUGGCCAGAAGUUCAGAGUGUAGAGGCACAUUGUGGCCAUCUGACCACUGAUUCUACCACUUCCAACCCUAUUGCACACAGAUGGCUUACUCAUUCUCGCUCCACCAUUUGUUAAGCACCUGCUGUAUGCCACUGCCAGUGUUAGACAUGGAGCCUCAGGAGGAACCAGUCCUGAACUUGGGGAGCUCACUCACCACUCUGGACCUGAGAUGACCACGUGUCCAGAUGUGACCUGUUACUGUUAGGGCUGUCAGAUUGUCACAUACCCUCGGGUUCAAGCUCCUUAGAUGCUCACCCCAAUGGGCUCUCUGAGGCCCCGGAGCCCCCCACUAUCAGUACACACUUUAGACUUCCCCCUAGCGUCCGACUUCUCGCAGGGCCGGUGGGUCCAGCUUUGGCCACACGGUGGCGCCGGUGCGCCGCAGCCGUCCGGCCCCGCGCACGCGCACUCGUAUUCACAGACCCGCCUGAGGCAAUUGACUGGCAGGUUCCAGCGGUGACCUGAUGCUGAGGAGCCGUCGCCACUUUCUGGAGGUCAGGGCUCCAGACCUCAUCUGGGUCAAGCCAGAGGGAUGAGCAGUCACGCACUCGCUUGAGGGCCGUCCAGUCUACACAACCGCCACCAUUUUCUAGAUGGAGAAACUGAAGCUGGGCGACUUGUCCUCCACGCUCUGCCCACUGCCGCCCCCCCCCCCCCACGCCCCUCUUGUCCCCGGGCAUCUCCCAUCUUAUCCGGUGGGACCGCGGCUCCCAGCAUGCAGGCCCCCCCGCCCCUGCACGGCGCCCGGCCGUGACCCAUGUGUACCUGCCCUCCUCAGAGGUACAGCCCCAGCGAUGUCCCCUGUGUGUGCAGGGCACCCCGGAGCCCUGUGAGGAGCUGUGCUUGCCCCAUCCGACCAUGUGGGGCUUGACUGUGAAGACGGGCCCAA